UCUGUGAACUCCUACGGGAGGCAGCAGUGGGGAAUAUUGCACAAUGGGCGAAAGCCUGAUGCAGCGACGCCGCGUGAGGGAUGACGGCCUUCGGGUUGUAAACCUCUUUCAGUAGGGAAGAAGCGAAAGUGACGGUACCUGCAGAAGAAGCGCCGGCUAACUACGUGCCAGCAGCCGCGGUAAUACGUAGGGCGCAAGCGUUAUCCGGAAUUAUUGGGCGUACAGAGCUCGUAGGCGGUUUGUCGCGUCUAUCGUGAAAGUCCGAGGCUCAACCUCGGAUCUGCGGUGGGUACGGGCAGACUAGAGUGAUGUAGGGGAGACUGGAAUUCCUGGUGUAGCGGUGAAAUGCGCAGAUAUCAGGAGGAACACCGAUGGCGAAGGCAGGUCUCUGGGCAUUAACUGACGCUGAGGAGCGAAAGCAUGGGGAGCGAACAGGAUUAGAAACCCGUGUAGUCCAUCAGCG
rnacentral:rRNA from 1 species